GCUAGAAACCCUGAAGAGUUGGUGUAGUUCCAGUCUGAGUCCAAAGGCUUAAGAACCAGGAAUCUGGUGGUGUAAGUUCCAAUCUGGAAGCUGAAUCUCAUCCAGGAUACUACGUUACCUUAGUAGUUAUGUCUCCUAAGGCUUCUCUUGGCUGUGACGAUAUCUCAGACUUCCCUUGUUUUUAAUGACCUUGACAAUUUUGAGGGGUACUGGUCAGAUUCUCUCCUAUGAUGUAGCUGAAAGGCCAACCAAGAAGUGGCUGGGACCUUGGUGAUGUGAGACCCAACUAAUACACAGAUAAUUAUUGCUUGGAUUCUUGCAAAGAAGGAAAAGCCCAGUCCAGAGAGAUCCCUCCAUUUCUACCAAGACUCUAUUUCCCACUUGCUAGAAAGAGCCAUAUAAACAGGAACAAAGCUUGCUAUGAAACCAACAAACAAAAAUCGACAAGAGAAUGCAGCGCCUAUGUUUUUUAUACCUGUAUU
rnacentral:lncRNA from 1 species